AGUCAGUGUGGUUUAAUAUAAGAACAGUGACUGAGUCACACCACACAAAAACAAAAGUUUUAGACUUAAAAAAAAAUUGACUUUUCUAAAAUUAGAAUAUGUGUAAAAAAAACAGAGUGAGGAAGACAGAAUGCUCUAUAAGAUUAGGCAGAAAGAGGCUAAGCAAGUUAUAAGAGCUUCCAAAUCACACACAGAAGAGAAAAUAGCACAGUCAGUAAAAAAGGGGACAAUACAUUUUUUAGAUACAUAAAUGAGAAAAGCAAAGUAA